rnacentral:rRNA from 1 species
UACGUAGGGGGCGAGCGUUGUCCGGAGUUACUGGGCGUAAAGCGCACGCAGGCGGUCUGCUAAGUUUGGAGUGACAGUUGGUGGCUUAACUGCCAAAGUGCUUCGAAAACUGACAGACUUGAGGGCUUCAGAGGGACACGGAAUUCCGGGUGGAGUGGUGAAAUGCGUAGAGAUCCGGAGGAACACCGGUGGCGAAGGCGGCGACCUGGGUAGAUACUGACGCUGAGGUGCGAAAGCGUGGGGAGCAAACAGG